UACUGGGUCCCAGGAUUAAGCACCGCACUGCACGGAGCCAUGCACUGAGUGUGGAGCAAAUGGUUUGUGUGGCCUUGCGCUUUUUUGCUAGUGGAGCCUUCCUGUACUCAGUGGGGGAUGCUGAACAAGGCCACAAUUUGCCGCACAAUAAGGAGUGUGUGUCUGGCUAUCAAAGCAUUAGCAGAUGUCUUCAUCUCCUUCCCUGGCCACAGAAGACUCUGUGACAUCAAAGAGGAGUUCUAUAGGAUUGCAGGUAAGAGGAUCUACAAAUUACAGGACAACUGUUAACACAUAGUAGGAUACUCAUUACUUUGUGUGACAGGUUUCCACAAUGUCAUUGGUGCAGUGGACUGCACACACAUAAGGAUAAAAGCCCCCUCAGGUGCCCAUGAGGCCGAUUUUGUGAAUAGGAAAUCCUUUCACAGCAUUAAUGUUCAGAUGGUUUGCAAUGCUGACUGUGUGAUCAGCAAUGUUGUGGCAAAAUGGCCUGGCUCAGUCCAUGACUCCAGAAUCUUUCGGGCCUCUGAAAUCUAUCAGUGCCUAUCACAAGGUGAAUUCUCUGGUGUGUUGCUGGGAGACAGGGGUAUGGCUGCCAGCCUUUUCUCCUGACACCUUUCACAGACCCCCAGGAAGCACAGCAGGCCUACAACCAUGCCCAUGCCAGGACCAGGGCCAGAGUUGAAAUGACCUUUGGCCUCCUGAAGGCACGCUUUCACUGCCUUCACAAAUUAAGGGUCAGCCCUGUUAGGGCAUGUGAUAUUACUGUGGCUUGUGCUGUCCUCCACAAUGUGGCCUGCCUGAGGAAGGAGAGGGCCCCCAGAGUGCCACCAGCCAUGGACUGGGACAAUCCGGCAAUCUUCCCUGAUGACGACAGUGGUCGGCUGCUGAGGGACCAAUAUGUGUUGAAUUAUUUUAGUUAGUAUGUGUGCUUUCAAUUUUGGUUAAAUAUGUCCUGCGGUGGCAGAGGAAUUUGGUUUUUUUGGGUUUGUUUUUUGACGAAUUUGGCCUCUUAUGAUGUUUGUGCGGUAUACUGUGUGUAAUACAAGGCUGCAGGGAGGCUACUGCAUCCAUUCAUUUGUCUGUUCAGUUGAUGUGUAUGGAUUUGUCCUGCAUUUAUUUUAGUGUGCAGACAUGCAGGGUGUGUUAUAUACAGACCUUUGAAUGUGUAUGUAUCAUUUUGUAUAAUAUGCUUGGAUUCUGUGCUUUCCAUCUUGUAGCGUCACUGUGACUUCAGUUUCGAAAGGAGCUGAUGGUUUACCUGCUUUGUUUUGUCCUUAUUCAAUAAAGGAACAUAAUGUUACACAUUGUGUUUUUAUAUUCAUA